UUGUACAUGGUAUUAAUUACGGCUCUGUGUUCACAUAGCCGCUGCUGAUACGUGUUUAUACAUGGAAGUAACGUCAUGUGUGCACAACAUGAAGAGGGUCAGUGGGAUGUAGGUGUUUUUCCACAUGGCGAGCGAACAGAUGACGUUCACAUCAAGCGGUUUGAUUCCCAUGUCCUGAACCUGCAUCCAGAGACCAGGAGCCAGGCAGGAGCCUGUCUGAACCCGAGCCGUGUGGCGGGUUGUUGGCAGUGAAAGGAGAACAGUGACCAGGUCUUGGGAAGGAUUCCUGUGUGUGUUUCCUGUUGGCCUCAGUGUUUCCACGCUGUUAUCAUUCCAGCUGAUAAUGCAGUGCUCAGGCUCUUUUUCUCAGGACCAAAUGCACACUGCCACACAUUCUGAUGGCGUGACAUAGACCUCCACCACAGAGCCUCCUCUGUCUGAGGCAGAGCACAAUGCCAGGCCGGGACCCACAGCUGGUACACAUACUGGUGGAGCAUUCUGCCAACCUGACCACUAUUACUGAUAUAUGAGGACGUAUGCAUAUGUGCAGCACUGUGUGCAGGUUUCAAGAGGUUCUUUUAAGAAUGUUGUGAUCACUCAACAUUGUGGAGGGAUUUAAAAUUUCAGUGAACUGUGUACUUCUGUCCGUGAGCAACACAAUGUAAACAUACACCUAAAUUAACUAAAUCUAUACACAUUUUCAAAA